AGCAGCCGCGGUAAUUCCAGCUCCAAUAGCGUAUAUUAAAGUUGUUGCAGUUAAAAAGCUCGUAGUUGAAUUUCGGGAUCAAUAUAUCGGUCGUGCCUUGGUACGUACUGGUAUCAUUGAUUUCUCCCUUCUGACGAAUCAUGAUGUCAUUAAUUUGGUGUUAUGAGGAGUUAGGACUGUUACUUUGAAAAAUUAGAGUGUUUAAAGCAGGCAUUAGCUUGAAUACAUUAGCAUGGAAUAAUGAAAUAGGACGUUUGACCCUAUUUUGUUGGUUUCUAGGAUCGACGUAAUGAUUAAUA
rnacentral:rRNA from 1 species